UGGGGAAUAUUGCACAAUGGGCGCAAGCCUGAUGCAGCAACGCCGCGUGAACGAUGAAGGUCUUCGGAUCGUAAAGUUCUGUUGCAGGGGAAGAUAAUGACGGUACCCUGUGAGGAAGCCCCGGCUAACUACGUGCCAGCAGCCGCGGUAAUACGUAGGGGGCUAGCGUUAUCCGGAUUUACUGGGCGUAAAGGGUGCGUAGGUGGUCUUUCAAGUCGGUGGUUAAAGGCUACGGCUCAACCGUAGUUAGCCUCCGAAACUGGAAGACUUGAGUGCAGGAGAGGAAAGUGGAAUUCCCAGUGUAGCGGUGGAAUGCGUAGAUAUUGGGAGGAACACCAGUAGCGAAGGCGGCUUUCUGGACUGCAACUGACACUGAGGCACGAAAGCGUGGGUAGCAAACAGG
rnacentral:rRNA from 1 species